rnacentral:rRNA from 1 species
AGAGUUUGAUCCUGGCUCAGAACGAACGCUGGCGGCGCGCCUAAUACAUGCAAGUCGAGCGAGAAGGUGUAGCAAUACACUUGUAAAGCGGCGAACGGGUGAGGAAUACAUGGGUAAUCUACCAUCGAGUGGGGAAUAACCAGCCGAAAGGUUGGCUAAUACCGCGUACGCCUCCGGAUCUUCGGGUUCGGAGGGAAAGCUGCACUGUGAGUGUAGCGCUCUUUGAUGAGCUCAUGUCCUAUCAGCUUGUUGGUAGGGUAACGGCCUACCAAGGCUUUGACGGGUAGCUGGUCUGAGAGGACGAUCAGCCACACUGGCACUGCGACACGGGCCAGACUCCUACGGGAGGCAGCAGUAAGGAAUAUUGCGCAAUGGGCGAAAGCCUGACGCAGCGACGCCGCGUGGGGGAUGAAGGUCUUCGGAUUGUAAACCCCUUUCGGGAGGGAAGAUGGAACGAGCAAUCGUUCGGACGGUACCUCCAGAAGCAGCCACGGCCAACUUCGUGCCAGCAGCCGCGGUAAUACGAAGGUGGCAAGCGUUGUUCGGAUUCACUGGGCGUACAGGGUGUGUAGGCGGUUUGGUAAGCCUUCUGUUAAAGCUUCGGGC